UACGGAGGGGGCAAGCGUUGUUCGGAAUUACUGGGCGUAAAGGGCGCGCAGGCGGCUGCUCAAGUCAGGCGUGAAAGGCCUGGGCUCAACCCGGGAAUUGCGCUUGAGACUGGGCUGGCUUGAGUGCGGGAGAGGAUGGUGGAAUUCCUGGUGUAGCGGUGGAAUGCGCAGAUAUCAGGAGGAACACCGAUGGCGAAGGCAGCUCGCUGGGACGGUACUGACGCUGAGGCGCGAAAGCGUGGGGAGCGAACAGG
rnacentral:rRNA from 1 species